UUGAAUUGAAGAGUUUGAUCAUGGCUCAGAUUGAACGCUGGCGGCAGGCUUAACACAUGCAAGUCGAACGGUAGCAGGAAGAAGCUUGCUUCUUUGCUGACGAGUGGCGGACGGGUGAGUAAUGCUUGGGAAUCUGGCUUAUGGAGGGGGAUAACUACUGGAAACGGUAGCUAAUACCGCGUAAUAUCGUAAGAU
rnacentral:rRNA from 1 species